AUCGUAAUAGUAAAAAAAUAAUAGAUAUAUACAUAUAAAACGUGUAGUCUCGAUGAUGUGGACACGUAAUUGAAAACUUGGGAAGACCAGCUUGAUUUACGUGCGCCUCGUACGUAAGGCUAUGAAAUGCAUUAAUGCUAUAUCGUCGUACAUACAUAUAUACGAUAUACAUAUAUACGAUUUAAUCAAAUCGAAUCGAUUGAGUGACAUCGUAUUGCGAAAAGAGACCGGUUGUAAUUUAAGAAUCAAGGUGAUUGCUGAUUAGGUCGUCAUUAACGCGAUCGCGUGCGAAUAUACAAUCUGAUUGUUUGAAAGUAAAAAAUUUACUCUCUCAGCGAAGAGCAGGAGAUAAAAAUAUUUCGCUUAACAUAUAUUAAUGUAUGGUUGUUAACAACGACGAGAAAAAAUGGAGAAGAAAAACCAAAGGACAAAAGUAAAAUCUAUGAAGCGCAAACACGAAAUAGCAGCUAAUGUGAGUUAGCUCGAUGAUGGAACGUUCACGAUUAAAUAGCGCAUCGCAUCGGGUCGUUUUUUUCUAAGAGUCGCUAAAAAGCGUACGUUCUAUCUCCCUUCUUCCAAGCUCGCCUCGAUAACUCGUUCCAGAGCGCUGUUUCGAGGGUGCAUUGAAAAUCUAAAGAGAAAGGGAAGCUCGUUCGUCGCUCGUCGUGAGAGUCGGUGCAGCCAAAGACGGAGACUAGAGGGACUUUUUCCAAUUGAAAUUAAUGGAAGAAUGGUGGUUUGUUUUAUCGCAACGUCAAAUUCGACGUCAUGGAAUUGUAUAAACGGCGCAGUUAUCGAUACGAAUGGGACGUGAGGGGACAUUUAAGACUAAGGAGUCAUCGAUAUAUAUCUAUACAUCUAUAGAGGAGGAGGAGACUUAAGUAUUCGUCGUACAAUAAGAAUAUGAAAAUACAUAUGUAUAUAUACGUACGUAUGUGUUUUUACAAUUAGGUACGAAGAAACGAGUACGAGUUUAUACGAACGAUAUAGAAGACGUUUAGGAGACCUACCGAAAGUUUUGUCACGGAGAAUAGUCCGAUUCUACAUGGACGAGCAAAAUCGACUAAAGGAACGAGGAAUGUUGAGAAAAGUAUUCUGGAGAUUCGAUAUCGAGAAGGAAUUCGUACGGUGCUUGGAACGUAAAAGAUAAAUAAAGGAUACGUUCGAUAUCGAAUGGAUCAAAUUCUUUUUCAUUAUCACGUUCGGAAGAACGCAGAGAAGAAAAGUAUAAAUACAAGUCAAUCGAAGAGAGUUUUUAACGUAAAAAAAUAAUCGGACCCAAGUAGGAUGACUUAGACGUUAUACACGUAUCGAUAGGUGUGUUACGUAAAAACGAACCACUGUAUAUCUAUACAGGAUGAUGAUCCCUAUGACAAAAUGGCAAACUGUAAUGAAAUUUCGCGAUAUUAAUUAUAUAUUAUAAAUAUACAAAAGGAUUUAAACGCAGCAAAUUUGAAGGAUUAACGCGUUUCUCUUUGAAGAACGGUCUAGGUAUAUAAUCUUUUUUUCUUCCGUUCUUUUCUUUUUUCCCAAAUCGGCUUUGCGUUUGCAUAUGAUUCCGAAUAUAUGUACGCGAUCGAUGAAUACGAUGAUGCUCGAAUGAUACCCUAAUGCAAUUAAUGACGGAAUACCGAUCGUAAUUAUCUCCAAUAGAAAUCAUCGUGAAGCGCACAUUUUGCGGUUUUACGAUCGAACGAAUCGGGCCUGAACGACAUCGUAUAUCUACAUAUACGAGUAUAAUCUGUGAAGUGUAAUUCGUGUGCAUCGUAAAGCUCUCUGUCCGUACCGUUUUCACCCUUCUCUCUCUCCCUCUUUGCGAGAUACUGUCAAUCGAUAACGCGGAGUAGUCACGUGAUUGGCAAGGACCCCGGAAGUAGCGAAGUUGCGAUUUCAAAAUCUUCCGAUCUAAUCGCGAUUUAAUUACCUACCCGCCUACCGUUACAAUCCGUUAAAUCGGUUUUCCUUUAUCGUGGAAGAUUCUAAUGAACUCUUCCUUCCUCCCUCCCGUCCAUCCAUCCAUCCUUCUCUCUCUUUCUCUCGUUCUUUCGGAAAAGCACAACGGUUGCCAAAUUAAUAAUUUAAUCGGCCACUCCGUCGAAAGUUCAGAAAACUUUGGAAAAUUUCUUUGCGCUUAAAGACUCGCUGUUUCUAAAAGAGAGAGAGAGAGAGAGAGAGAGAGAGAGAGAGUGAGAGCGAUUAGAACAGGAACAGCUGUGGCCAGUCUCACGUGCGAUCGCUCGAAAGAAAUAAUUCACGGGACGUGGAGGAACUCGAGAUAGAUAGGGAGUAAUCGGAGAAGAUAUUAAAAAAAGAAGAAGAAGAAGAAGAAGAAGAAGAAGAAGAGAAGAAGUGUAUUUUUUGUAACUCACUUCGACAAGGAUACCCUUGAAAUUCUGGCUCAUCGUGACGCUGCCGAGUUUGACGCAAAAGUCCCCAAUCUCAAAGCGUGGGCCCUUAGAUUCGAUCUUGGUUUGUUUUUUGCUCGUAUAAAUGCUCGUCAUCUUCAUCAUCAGAAGAUCGAAGAGACCAUCUGCGAUCAAUGGUACUAUCUUAUUGCCAGACUCGAGAAGAGCGAAAACAGAGGCUGGUUGUUCCGAGUUGUGUAGUACAUGAACGGUUCUUUGAACACCUGUAAACGUAAAGAAUAAAUAUUUAAGCUCUUCUUCUUUCAGACCUCUAAUGUAAAAUAUAAAUCGAUUGAUGACUCCAAGGAGGUCGGAGAAACGUCUUAAUAAUUAUUUUACGUAGCUUCGUUAAAAGUUUUGCAACUUUUGGGAUGGAAAGAGCUGAGAGACAUUGUAAAUACACAACUAGAUUCUUUGCUGUUAACACCGUGGAAGAUCGAACGCGGAAACGCAUAUUGAAAUGCAGUCAAAGUUACACGAUGCUAGUGGUUCGUUUAACGUGCAUCACGUUGCUCGUAUCGGCACGAUAGUUCAGGCGCACAUGUAGUACAUCAAGAAGGGAACUUAAACUCGAAUCUAACUUAAACUUUGAACUUGCCGUCGAAGUUGCAUCCUGUUUGUACGUCGUCGAGUAGCAUGCGCGAAUCCAUAGAAGCGAAAACUACCGAGAUCGGUAGUUUAUUCGCCAUUGGAAAUGGGUUUUUCUCUUUCUCUCUCUCUCCCUCUCUCUCUCCCUGUUUUCUUUUGAGCGAAGCGGCACGAAUAGAUUUUCAAAAGUAUCGUAAAAGCGUGCGAAAUGAAAUACGUAAAUCGUGUAUGCUCAGACGGUUGAAAUUUUCUUUAUGAGCGCACGAUGGAAAUGCCGCGAGCAUAUUUUUAUCGAGAAUUAUUUGGAUAAAAAACAUCGACGUACAUCUGCUGGAUGUUCCAAAUGUAUUGGAAUGAAAUCACUGUAUUGGAUUUAAUUAUUAGCUGAUAUCCAGGGAUAAUUAUCGAUGUGCUUUUUUACCAAUAAAAUAAUCAAUAUCGAAAGACGGGAGUAGCGAAUAAUUGAGCAUUAUGUUAAUACGAAAAGAUAUAUGUAUAUCGAACCGAUUGAGGUAUACAGAGCUCGUACGGAUCCAGAUAUAUCAUCUGCCCCAUGCAUGUAUCUAUGAGUAUAGAUCAAAUCAGGAUGCUGUUGAUGUGUAUCGCGAAAGGUUUAACGCGCAAUUCCCCGAAAUAUAUGACGUGCGAAAUUCUCUGAAUAUUCAUAAUUCGCUGGCUAUUCUCUCUCUCUCUCUCUCUCUCUCUCUCUCUCUCUCUCUCUCUCUCUCUCUUACUCCGUACUUCGUCCACAUAAUAGCAGCGGGCUUAUACAGUUUCCGCUCUGACCGAUGCACCAUGAAUUAUUUACGCGUCGCUGUUAUAACCGGCUGUCCUCGCGGCCACGUCGAACGACAAAAUUUCUUAAUUGCGGCUCGCGUCGCGUGCGCGUACGCAGUAAUUUUCGAUCUCUCGGUAGCAUUAUUUAUAGCUCAUCGACAAGUUUAAUAAUUAACUUUUCAUAAUUAUAGAUUAAUCCGAGUGCGGCUCCACAUGAAGGUGGACGGGAAACGAGUAGCGCAUCGCAAGUAGUUCGAAACUAAUUGCAAUUGGCGAUAAAUCGUGGAAAUUGCAUUCUCCGACGCGAACCGAUUGCAUCUUGUUCGGCCGCUUGCUCGCAGGAGAGCUCGAUAAAAAGUAUAUCCCAGUAAUGUAAAUCGUGACUUUUGAUAAACGAAAUAACGAGAUUAUCGGUCGGCAGAGCUCCUACAAAAGGUUCUUUCACCACGUGUGAAAAGGAAAUAAUUAAAAGAGUGGGAGAAAAGGAAAAUCGUCCGUUCGCCGUUGGAUCCAGUCGAUGGAUCCAGCCGAAUAAGCGAUAUACCUAUAUCGUCUUUAACGGCUAUAAGAGAAAACAACGAGGCUACAUAAGCUCUUACCCUGGAUGAGUACGAAUUAACGAAGGCCCUCUGAUUAUUAACUCCGACCCUCUUUCAUCUUCUCUCGCAACUCAUCCUCCCUCAAGCGCCCCUCGAAGGAUGGACAAGGCACGGAGAUGAGGCACGGACGAGGCGGCUUUCCCGGGCCGAUCUGGCCCGGUAGAUACACCAACGGUUUACACCAACGAUCGUACGGCCCUGUGACGCGCCGCAUGCCGCAUACCGCAUUGUCUGCAUCGCACGUAUGCGCCGUUCUCUGUUACACGGAUGCGCUCUCGUGCGGAGGCCGGCGCAAACGCUGCGAAAGCACCAGAAUCUAUCUCGCGCGUCUCACUUUCGAGAGGGAGGUCACCGAGCAAUUAUACAUUAGAGGAGCGCAUCGAGUCGAAAUAAAUAACAUUGUGGUCCACCUCUAAUUUCGUCUAGAAUCAUUUCGGUUGCACUUUGUCCGCUCGUUUGUCCGCUCGUUAGGCAGCUUGCCUUUCGAGUUUGCGCUACUUAACCGAAUAUCCCGGGCAAAUUCGAAUUCGUUCGAAUCGACGGAAUCGUUUUUGGCGAUUAAUUAAAUCAUUGCAAUUUCCUAUGUAAAUAUAUAUUUCACUUUAUCUUUUUCUUAUCUGUGUCUUCGAUGGAGCUACGUAAGCUCCUUAAAAAGAAGAGAAAAGAAAAGAAGAAGAAAAACAAAACAAAAAAGAAAAGAAAAUAAAAUCCUUCCGAGGUUUCGCCCAUCAGUCGUUCUUCCCGGGCUAAUUAGAAAGGGUUCGUGAGUCCACCUGAUAAAAUUAAAAAUGCAUAUCCUCUAUUCUGUUUCUCUAUUGAACCGUAUUCCACGUUCAAUAUAAAAGAGAAGAUGGAUGUACCGAUUUUCCUUUUUUCUAUUUCUCGUUCUCAUUUAUUGCGAACGGACGCCAAUGCCCGAUAGGACGCAAUAUUCUCCUUUUAUCAAGCAUGUCCACGCUUCGGCCCAUUAAUUACGACUCGCCCCCGACGGCAACACCGACUCGUCGAGAUUGCACCUGUUUUUGUCCGAUGAGAAGUAUAUCCACCGAGCCCGACGCAAUUUCGUUUCGUGCCACGCGCUACCGUAUCACCGCGUAGAACAACUGCUGGUAUAGUUCUGCCAUAGUGAAAUGUCAUUAAUGAAGCGUCAGCGUACCAUAAAUCGACCGUAAUUUUCAUUCUCUAUCAGCUUCGAAUAAAUUAAGAGGAUUUCAAUUUCUCUAUACGCUUGAUCUAAGCUCGGAGAAUAUUGAAUAACGAACGAGAGACGUUUAUAGAAAAACACUGAGAAAUUUUAAGGAAAGAGUCUUAUUCUUUCUCUCUACCUCUCCAAAUGGAAAGAUCUUUUCGAAAAAGAAGAAGAAGAAGAAGAAGAAGAAGAAGAAGAAGAAUAAAAAGGUCUUCUCUCAAUUCUCGAAAAGUAUCUCGCCCUCGCUGUCUCCUUUUCCCUUCUUUCUAACCGAAUUGACGUUUCUAUCGACGUGCAGCGGUAAUAACUUCAGUUUCCGAUGAUGACGGCCGAUCGAUCAAAGUGUCGUCUCUUGUAUUCGUUCGAUUUCCGGCCCGAAGAACAAUCGUGGCGUGCAAACGCGACCUUACCGUACCUACGGCCUUUCCAUGUUAAUUUCAAUUUCAUAGGAAUACGCGAACGACGAUCGAUAACGGGACGAAAUGUAAAAUUGAAUCUGGCCAUUGAAAAAAAAAAAAAAAAAAAUAAAGUAAUAACGUUUACGGCGACAGUUUAUCGAGCUUAUUUAAUAUUUUCGUUACUUACAUUGUAAGACUUCGAAUCAUCUGUCAGAGAAAUCAAGAGAGGCACACUUGGAAGAUUCAAAGACCUUCCUCGUUACGGGGCUUCUUAACGUGGCAUUGUUCUACACACGAUGUUGAUUCGACCCCUUUUUAUUAUCCUCGUGUCGCUCCAGAAAUGAAUAUGAGCGUCGCAUGCCAUGUAUUUUAAUUGUCGCAAAAGAACAUACUUUUUCUUUUGUCUUUCUCCCUUUUUCCUAACGCGAAACUCCAUUAAAGUUAACGACAAUUACAACGUCAGAAAUCGAUAAUAAAUCGAUCAAUGGCCACGCGAGAUAAUGAUUUAGCGAACAUAUCAUAAUAGAAUAAGGUCGAAAAAGAGAAGGUGUUAUUCGAUCGCUUUCCUAUUCGACGAGAUUUGCAAUCGCUUUAUUAAAAGUAUCAGCUGUUGCCAGUAGCUAACGCUAUCUUCGUCGCGAAAGUUUAUAAACUCGGUAUCUCUUAUUCUUUAAGAAGAGAAAUAUGCGGAUAAGGGAAGACGUUUCGAUCGUACGAACGACGAUGACUCUUCGACAAAUUAUUAUGGAUAGUACUAAGGGGUGCAGUCGCGCAUCGUCGCGCUCCCUUAUUCAAGAAGACCGUUCCGACCAUAAUCGACCGUCUUCUUUUAUAGGCGGAACGUGCCAAACGGCUCUCCAUAAUCGCGACAAAUUGAAAUUUGAUAUACAUGCGCGAUCGAUCGAUGAGAAAUAAUGCGAGACGAACUUUCGAUUCGUUUCCUCAUCGAAUCGAUGAUCUUCGAGAGAUAAAAGAAAAGAAAGUCAAAAUAAAAAAAUGAUGUGAUCACGAGAAGUCGUGAUAAUUUUUACUUUUCUUAUUCCCCACUCGACCAUGACACUUUGGAAAUUGUCAAAUUCUAUUGUAUUUGAUCGGACCCCUGCUAUUUGAAAACUUGCCCCAAUCACGAUGAGAAGGAUCUGGCGGGAGACCCAACAUUGGGUUGGUCCUUAUUGUCGAGCAAUUUAUUUU